rnacentral:lncRNA from 1 species
AUCCACAGUGCAUCUGUGGAACUUGAGAAAACUUUACCACAAGACAGCACAAAGCCAACCAGGGUCCCUGAUUAAAAGUGAUUUCUUCUUUAAUUGAAAUGAUCUCUAUGAACAGCUGCCAGAGGAGCUUCUGAAGAGGGAAGUGCUACGAAGAGAGUUGGAAUAAGAACUAGAGGACAGAAGACUUGGUAAUGGAGUUCCUGGAAAUUGGAGAUAAUAAACUUUUCCCAACAGAAGAAACUUCUCAUGGCACAGAACCUGCCAGCAGAAAGAUGAAGACACCUGUCCCUAUCUGCAUGUAGAGUCAUAAGCAGUGAUUUUCUAACUUGGCAGUGCUCCUUCGAGUUGACAUUUCCAAAAUCACCUAGAGGACCAGGAAAUUCAGUCAGGCUGGCAGCACAAGAGGUGGGCCUGAUCAAAUCCCUCCUGGAAAAUUAUUAUUCAAGAAAUAAGAGAAAAUGGAAGACGCUGGGCACAUGUCCCAAAAUACUAUAGAUAAGUUUUUGGAAGUAACUACUGAUUUCCAAAUAUAGAAAGUUUUCGAGCUUUGAUUUAUUUCGACCUAGAAGAAAAUUUAAAAAAUAAAAAGUGACAAAAUAAAGGCAACAUAUUUUCCUACUGUAACUCCUCAUCCAGAAUGAAGAGAUUUGAAAAAAUUAAUCUCAAUGAUUCAAACACCUCUCCUAAAGAACAUAUUUUCCUCCAUUAUAUAAGUAUUUCAAGUGGAGGUUUUUAAAUCUAAACAAUCAGAUUCCAAAAUGACUGCUUGUUUUCUUCCUUUUCAUGGCUGGGUAGCUUUCCUCCUUCUGUCUCGCUGUUUCUCUCCUCCCUCCCUCCCUCCCUCCCUCCCCCU